rnacentral:rRNA from 1 species
GGCUCAGGAUGAACGCGGGCGGUAUGCUUAACACAUGCAAGUCGAACGGGAAUCUUAGGAUUCUAGUGGCGGACGGGUGAGUAACGCGUGAGAAUUUGGCUUCAGGUCGGGGACAACAGUUGGAAACGACUGCUAAUACCGGAUAUGCCGGAAGGUGAAAGAUUUAUUGCCUGAAGAUAAGCUCGCGUCUGAUUAGCUAGUUGGUGGGGUAAGAGCCUACCAAGGCGACGAUCAGUAGCUGGUCUGAGAGGAUGAUCAGCCACACUGGGACUGAGACACGGCCCAGACUCCUACGGGAGGCAGCAGUGGGGAAUUUUCCGCAAUGGGCGAAAGCCUGACGGAGCAAUACCGCGUGAGGGAGGAAGGCUCUUGGGUCGUAAACCUCUUUUCUCAGGGAAGAAAAAAAUGACGGUACCUGAGGAAUAAGCAUCGGCUAACUCCGUGCCAGCAGCCGCGGUAAUACGGAGGAUGCAAGCGUUAUCCGGAAUGAUUGGGCGUAAAGGGUCUGUAGGUGGUGCUGUAAGUCUGCUGUUAAAGAGUCACGCUCAACGUGAUAAAAGCGGUGGAAACUACAGGACUAGAGUGCGGUCGGGGCAGAAGGAAUUCCUGGUGUAGCGGUGAAAUGCGUAGAUAUCAGGAAGAACACCGGUGGCGAAAGCGUUCUGCUAGUCCGCAACUGACACUGAGGGACGAAAGCUAGGGGAGCGAAUGGGAUUAGAUACCCCAGUAGUCCUAGCCGUAAACGAUGGAUACUAGGCGUGGCUUGUAUCGACCCGAGCCGUGCCGGAGCUAACGCGUUAAGUAUCCCGCCUGGGGAGUACGCACGCAAGUGUGAAACU